UGUAAAAAUAAAUAAUUUGUACAAUUUUCUUCACAAAUACAUGCAUAUAAACAAAAUAAUUUAUAGGUUGUUUCAAUUAAAACUAAAAUUGUAAUUUCUUAAAGUUAAGACUAUCAAACCAAAUGACAUUUUUCCUAAUAUACGCGGACAUGUUUUCACCGGUUUAUACUUGCUUAUCAGCUUUCCUAAAAAUUAAAUUUUUUUAUAUUUUCGAACCACGUUGUUUGCAGUGCACUUUGCGUUUGAAAAGGCCCAGACGAAAUUUUUUCCUUUCUUCGUAGUAAUUUUAUUCACGAAGUAGGUCUACAUUUUGAAGAAAGAAAUUGACUGCAAAAGGCGAACUAUCGCAAUAAUCUUAUAAGGUACUUACUGCUUACGUUUUACGAUUACAAGCCACUGGACAGAGACGAUAUCAAGAAGACCUGCACAGUGCCCAGCACAUCAAUCAAGGAACGUAACCAAUAAAGAGGCUAAUUGGAGAUUUUAUUCAUCUGUUUUUGUUCAAGUUCAUUUAUACAUUUUGUCAAAAUGCCAGAUCGGAACGAAUUGGAAAGACUGCUCCUCAUUUGUAUGGGAUCUCUUGUGGUCGUUAUGGCUCAACAAAUUCAGCUAAACAAAAAGUUGUGUUAUCUUGUGCUACAAAAGAAAAGACAACAGCGGAUCACUACAAAUAAACUUAAACGAAUGCAUCGUAGAAGGCUUUUCAAAAAUUAAUAUUAGGUACUCGUUAUUUGUAUCGACGUUAUUAUUCAAAAAUUGAUAUAUUUAUGAUUAUGAAUAACUAAUUUCUUUUUCUAUUGA